rnacentral:tRNA from 2 species
GGCUUUGAUGGAAAAUAGUUAUUUUGAAAUUAACUUAAAAGUGUUCGAUUCGCUUAAAAGCUU